GCCAGCAGCCAUAUCACUCUGCAACUCACAACUGGCAGCCCACUGAAGCUCAGCAGGUGUGAGCCUGGUCAGUACCUGGAUGGGAGACCUCCUGGGAAAAACUAAGGUUGCUGCUGGAA
ensembl:rRNA 5S_rRNA 5S ribosomal RNA